rnacentral:rRNA from 1 species
GACGAACGCUGGCGGCGUGCUUAACACAUGCAAGUCGAGCGGAAAGGCCCCCUUGUGGGGUACUCGAGUGGCGAACGGGUGAGUAACACGCGAGUAACCUACCCUUGACUUUGGGAUAACUUCAGGAAACUGGGGCUAAUACCGGAUAGGAGCUCCUGCUGCAUGGUGGGGGUUGGAAAGUUUCGGCGGUUGGGGAUGGACUCGCGGCUUAUCAGCUUGUUGGUGGGGUAGUGGCGCACCAAGGCUUUGACGGGUAGCCGGCCUGCGAGGGUGACCGGCCACAUUGGGACUGGGAUACGGCCCAGACUCCUACGGGAGGCAGCAGUGGGGAAUAUUGCACAAUGGGCGGAAGCCUGAUGCAGCAACGCCGCGUGCGGGAUGACGGCCUUCGGGUUGUAAACCGCUUUCGCCUGUGACGAAGCGUGAGUGACGGUAAUGGGUAAAGAAGCACCGGCUAACUACGUG